rnacentral:rRNA from 1 species
GAUGAACGCUGGCGGCGUGCUUAACACAUGCAAGUCGAACGAAGCAUUUAAGACAGAUUACUUCGGUUUGAAGUCUUUUAUGACUGAGUGGCGGACGGGUGAGUAACGCGUGGGUAACCUGCCUCAUACAGGGGGAUAGCAGCUGGAAACGGCUGGUAAUACCGCAUAAGCGCACAGUACCACAUGGUCCAGUGUGAAAAACUCCGGUGGUAUGAGAUGGACCCGCGUCUGAUUAGCUUGUUGGCGGGGUAACGGCCCACCAAGGCGACGAUCAGUAGCCGACCUGAGAGGGUGACCGGCCACAUUGGGACUGAGACACGGCCCAGACUCCUACGGGAGGCAGCAGUGGGGAAUAUUGCACAAUGGAGGAAACUCUGAUGCAGCGACGCCGCGUGAGUGAAGAAGUAGUUCGCUAUGUAAAGCUCUAUAAGCAGGGAAGAUAGUGACGGUACCUGACGAAGAAGCUCCGGCUAAAUACGUG